CAGCUGACGGGAGCGCAACUGACGCUUAAGCUCGAAGGUGCGGGUAUCAAACAGGAUUAGAUACCCUGGUAGUCCGCACAGUAAACGAUGGAUGCCCGCUGUUGGUACCUGGUAUCAGCGGCUAAGCGAAAGCAUUAAGCAUCCCACCUGGGGAGUACGCCGGCAACGGUGAAACUCAAAGGAAUUGACGGGGGCCCGCACAAGCGGAGGAACAUGUGGUUUAAUUCGAUGAUACGCGAGGAACCUUACCCGGGCUUGAAUUGCAGAGGAAGGAUUUAGAGAUAAUGACGCCCUUCGGGGUCUCUGUGAAGGUGCUGCAUGGUUGUCGUCAGCUCGCGCCGUGAGGUGUCGGCUUAAGUGCCAUAACGAGCGCAACCCCUCUCUUCAGUUGCCAUCAGGUAAUGCUGGGCACUCUGGAGACACUGCCACCGUAAGGUGUGAGGAAGGUGGGGAUGACGUCAAAUCAGCACGGCCCUUACGUCCGGGGCUACACACGUGUUACAAUGGCCGGUACAGAGGGACGGUGUAAUGCAAAUUGCAUCCAAUCUUGAAAGCCGGUCCCAGUUCGGACUGGGGUCUGCAACCCGACCCCACGAAGCUGGAUUCGCUAGUAAUCGCGCAUCAGCCAUGGCGCGGUGAAUACGUUCCCGGGCCUUGUACACACCGCCCGUCAAGCCAUGAAAGCCGGGGGUGCCUGAAGUCCGUGACCGCAAGGAUUGGCCUAGGGCAAAACUGGUGAUUGGGGCUAAGUCGUAACAAGGUAGCCGUACCGGAAGG
rnacentral:rRNA from 1 species